rnacentral:lncRNA from 1 species
AUCUAAUUUUCUCAAAUUCAGAAUUAAACCACCAAGUUCACACAAAUCAAGUGCACAUUAAUUGUGGAAAUAGAUAAACCAAUAUAAUCCAUUCAAAUAUCCAUCAAACUAAUAAUUCAAAAUCAUGAAAUAGAAAGUUUAAUAAAAAUUACAUGGUUCAUCGAUCACCUAGUUGCAAAAAUCUAGCCUAUCAUGAUAAAAAUAACGAAAACUAACAAAAUAUGAAUGAAAUACAUCACCG